AGAGUGACUGGUUUGGAAGAACCCUGACAAACCCUAUGUGUCUAUUAUGUGGGCCACUAUCAAGUGCCCUUGAAGAGGUGAACUGUAAACCCCUAGUGCCCACAAGGUUAGAGUUCUGGGAAAGGGUGUGACAAGCUAUUCGGGAAUUUGGGGGUUAGCGCUGGUCCUGGGAACCUAGGUCAGCUGGGCCCUGCAAUACCAUUUCCACAGAGGAGUAACAGACAGCCUAUGCCUAGAAAUGCAUCCGAUGAAGUGAGCUGUAGCUCACGAAAGCUUAUGCUCUAAUAAAUUUGUUAGUCUCUAAGGUGCCACAAGUACUCCUUUCCCUAUGCCUAGAAAGUGUGUUAGAGGGGCCAAGGAGAGAGACAGGGCUGUAGCCUACUCAGACCCAGGGAAGCUUAAGAGCACAUGGGCCCAGUGUGGUGGGACACAAACACAGCGACCUGGUAAGUGUUCUGGCGAGGGAGCACUAGCAGGGUUGUGUAACAGUACAUUGAUUAGCCUUAUUGGAACUGAAUUGUUUUUCAAUUAUUUGCCUGGAGACUGUCCUUGGAAUCCAAAGACUGUUACAGCAAGUAAUACUACAGAAAGCAGAACUAGCACUAGCCACGGAGCUGCCAUUGUGCAAACAGGAAGUACCCAUUUGUUAGCGACAAAGACAGAAUGAGAAACUGCUGUGGAUUUUUUCCAAAUUGCUUUAUUGAUUAUCUACAUUAUUUUUGAAUUUCAAUGGAAAGACAAGCCUCCCAGCUUGACUGACUAACUGUAUUUAAAUAGUGGUUUGCAGUUUUGUUUGUGAUGUGUCCUGAAUUGAAACAGACAAGUUUGUUCUACGUUUUAAAGGAGAUUCCUACUUUUUAUUUUUUGCUUUCAUGUGCAUGUCAACAAGCUUCGGAUUACAAUGAAAACCUGUGAGGUCCUUCAAGAGAGAAGCCAACUGCUUUAUUCAUGAAGCAGAGAGCUUGUAGAUGUACAGCUAGAGAGUCUACUUCAAAAAGUACAGAAUUGUGAAGAGCUCGCCAGCACAGCUAAUCAUGGAGACUCAAGGCCACAAACCCACUCCAGCAUGGAGCACACAGGAGGUAUUGGAUCUUAUUGCUGUGAAGAGUCUGUGUGGGCAGAGCUCUAAUCUAGCAGAAGAAACGCAGACAUCUAUGCCAAAAUUGCACAGGGGACGGAGGAGAAGAGCUACACCAGGGACACGCAGCAGUGCCAUGUGAAAAUAAAGGCCCUUUGGCAAGCUCCCAGAAGACAAGGGAGGCAAACAGUCAUUCUGGUUCUGCCCCACAGACAUGCUGCUUUUAUGAGGAGCUGCAUGCUAUUCUCAGGGGUGACCCCACCACUACCCCAAAACACUCCAUGGAUAUCUCCCAGGAGCCCCAGGUGACCUCAAGCAACAGUGAGGAGGACAUUGUUGAUGACGAGGAGGAGAAUGCGAGGCAGGCAAGCAGAGGAUCCAUUCUCCCCAACAUCCAAGAACUGUUUUUUAACCCUGGAGCCUGUCCCUUCACAGGACCAGUUGGCGGCAGAGCGUGAUGCCGGGGAAGGCACCUCUGCUGAAACCUUGUCCAUUGGCUUAUCCUUCACACCGGGACAGAGACUUUCCCAGAUUAGAAGGCGGAAAAAAGAAGACUCAGGAGGACAUGUUCAAUGAGUUAACGCACGCCUCCGAGAGUGACAAGAUGGAGCUCAGAGCAUGGAGGAUCACACUGUCCAAGAACCUGGACAUGGACAGGAAGGACAGGAGAGCAUGCAGGGAACAAGAGCUUGCUAUGCAGGAAGAGAUGCUGCGGAUUAUGAAGGAGCAAUCAGACCUGUUGAGGCAUCUGGUUGAGGUGGGGCAUGGGGGAAAAGAGCUACACCGGGGACAUGCAUGCUGGAUGCUAGAGUCUCUCUGCAGCCUAUGCUGAACCUGCUGCCAUCAAGUUCCACAUCCUCCUCCCCCAAAUGUCCUAUGGGGGGGAGGGAGGGAAGUUCGGUAUCCCUUGCAUUCAGCACCAGGAGAGGGUACAAGGACCAGAAGGCACCCACUCCCUGUCCUGCCAUUCAGAAAAGCAACAUUGCUGUGAGGGAAAUUACCUAAAAUGUUAUGUAAGUGUUUGAAACCUUGGAUCAGAGCCUGGAAAAGGUGUUGAUCCACAUUUAAUCAAACCAGUUAGAAAUAGAAACUUAUAUAAGACUUUAUAAAUAAGUAAUCUUAUUUCUUUGGUUAAAAAUAACCUUUGUAGAAUACAGUCCAUGGCUUUAAUGAAAGUGUCAGUUGUCCCUCAUUAUGAAAUGCAGCAUUUCUUUUAGAACCAAAUUUCUCUUCAUCUCACACAAACCUAGUGUUAUCUUACUGUUUAUUCCUGUGAAUUGUUUUCAUUAGACAUUCUGUGUCUACAAAAUGAGGUUCUACAAAACUCUAUAGGACCAAUAUGCAAACACAGGUGCAAUGAGUAAACCUGCAAAAUUUUAAUUUGUGCAUGUAAAUAGGGAUCUGUGCAUAAAAGCCUAGAUGAUUACAAGUGCAAAUAAACACUCAUUCAUAAAGUUAUGUUUAGUGCCUACAAACAUUGUUUUUUGCUGGCACAACUGAUCUGUAUUCAUUUUUGUGGCCAUACCCAUAGCACAGUUUUUUGUAACCCAUUGCACGGUCUUUUGUUGUUCUGUAUAUGUUAAAGAAAAUAAUCCUGUAACAGAAUGACCGGCCCUUUAAGGGGAUAUCGGUCUGAGCCCCACCUGUGAUUAGGGUUCCCACCUGGCUGGUUUUUGUAUUGCCUUAUUGGGUAAAAGAUUUAAUGUGCUGGGUUGUUUUUUCACUUGGGACAUGUUAGAGUGCUCUAUAAUUCUUACCUCUGUAGUCCGGACUGCAGUGCCAUGUUAGGAUAUGAUAGGUAAGAAAAAUGACACAAUAACACAAAAAUACACGUAUUUGUGUGUGUUUGUGUAAAAUGGUUCUCUAAAAUUUUUUAGUAAUAAUUAGCUGUAGGUGGCAUUACAACCCUUUUUGUUGCUGUGAGGAGAGGUAGCCAGUGGCCAAUUUUUCUGGGUCUUGGAAGUGGCAACCCUACCUGUGACACAGUUAACUCACCUCACAAGGUAGGGAAAAUGGAUUGUGUAACCCAAUCAGGCCUUGGGGAUAAAUAAGAGAUAGGCCUAGGUAGCGGAAAAGGGAAGGAAAGACUGCAGAAAAGCCAGCUAGCUAGUCUGCCCUGGGAGUUGCUUCCGACUAGAGAGCUGGGAGCACCCCAAAGGAGCCCAGGAGGGGCUGAAAAGAGCCCAGAAAGAGCUGAAAGCUGACAAGCUCUGGGAAAGAGGGACGGUGGAGCCAAAGGGUCCGCAGUUGAUAAAAGACUGGGGAAAAAAAAAAUCCCACAAAAGGGACUUAUUGUAAGGAUUCUGAUUUUAGAGUCAGUUAUUGUAAAGAACCUGAGAGGGAACUGAGGGCAAGGUACUUAAAAGGCAAUCCCACACCACAAGAGGGUACUCUGGAGUCACUCUGAUAUUUCAAAUGUUACAAAUCCCAAGUCAUUUCAAAAUAUAUUCUUCCAUUUUUGCUGAGUUCCUUGUUUAAACUUUGUAAUGUGUGAUGAAAUCCAUAUAGCAGAUUGAGAGCAAUGGAUGAGGUAAAUUGUGUCAGUAGGUGAACAAACUAAGGCUUUCAGCACAGGUAGGGGUAGAAGAUUAAGAUGAAUUGUGCCAAUGUUCCAGAGGUGGUAAUAGGGAAAUGUGCGAGCACAGAUUAAGUAUCAAGAAGGACUGAAGAUUUUUAGCCUUGAGAGAAAAGCUAAAGUCUGAGUUAAGACUAAAAAUGGAGGUGGAGUCUGGGGAUCUGAGAUUACUUUUUACCAAGAAGGAGGACUUGAAUAUUUAAGUACAAAUGAAAACAGGACUCACUGCACAUUAUAAUCUGUUUUUUUUGCUUGGCUGAGCAGUAAAUGGUUAUUCCUCUUUAGGCUUUAAUGUGCAGAGUUCCAAAAGCAUAGAGUUAUUUUUAAUCAGCUUCUUUAAUUUAGUAACAGUGGUCUUCUGACAAUGAAAGGAAACAAAAAAAGAUGGUUCCUGCUGAUAAAAUUUAAUUUCUUUGACACAUCAAGCAUUUUAAUGUCAAGGUAGCUGCUCAUAGCUAGAGCUGCGAGACCUUGAAAGCCAUCUCUGGCGAGGAAAUAUUGUUUUGUUCACAAACUCUGAGAUCUAGGGAGAGCUUAAAAUAUUGGCUGUUAGUUUAAAAUAUGCCUGUUCCUAUCUUAAGAGGCUGAUAUAUCACUGAAGUGUUAAGGAAUGAGUUGAUACAUUCUAAAGUGAAAAUCUUAUGUACUUUGAGCUAGAUUUAUUCCUGGGAUACCGCCACUGAUUUCAAAGUUACACCAGGGAAGAAUUUGAUCCACUGAGCCAAAUCCUGACUCCAUAAUUGGCCUGCCUCCUGUGUCAAUCAGGAUGACUUGGAGCGUUGGCCUCUGCUCAUUGUCCCUGGGAACUGUGAGUUUCAGGGUCUUGAUUUCUCAUUGGCCCUUCUCCUUUCUUUCAGUACUGGGAGAGUGCCAACCAAAAAUCCCUACUAAGUUUCAGUAAGGGGACAACAAUCCCCUUACAAUAAGCUAAGACUCUAUAGGCUUCAUGGCAUGUUACUUA